CUUCCUGGCCUCUCCCUCCCGCGCUCGGGCCUUGCCACGUGGAUAUCUCAGCACUGAGCGCUGUCUCCAGCUGUUUUACUUUUUUGCAGGCAAACGUGGCACUGUGGACGGCCCUCCAGCUGCCCUGGUGCCCACGUACAGUGAGGGAGUGUUUCCCCAGCCUCUUUGUGCAUCUGCUCUUCCAGGUGUUCUUCAACGCAGUGCAUAGGCUGGAGGAGGACGACGCCUUCUGGAGGGAAUGCCAGGACCAACACAGCCUUCCCACCAACGCCAACAGGUUUGCAGUGCUGACCAUCCAAGCCCUGCUGUGCCAUCUGCGGUGUGAGGGUGUGGUGAUGGCACUGGAACGCAAGUGUGGCUGGGACACGCUGCUCAACGCUGACACCCACCACUGCGCAGUGGGUCUGCUGGCCAGGGAGAUAGUCUGUAUCUGCACACCCUGGUUUUGCAGCACUGUGUGCUGCCUCCUGGAGCUGCUCAGUGAAGAGAUGUGUCCCUGGGAGCUCCCUGCCAUGGCGUUCCUUGUGGAGGUGAGUCUGAUGGCAAGCGCUGCCUCCCCGAGCUGUCUCCACCUCUCUGCAGGGAAAGCCCAGUGAAUGGAGCUGGGGCAGAGGGGUUCUCCACUGUGUGUCCUUGGCCCGUUGCUGCUGGGGUGACACUUGUCCCCAGCUGUAUUUUGGGUCCCUCUGCUGCCAGCACUCACGUUUCCAUCAUGGCUCCUCAAGGCCAUGGAAUCUAAGGCUGCCGAGGGCUGGGUGGCACAGAGGAGUGGGCACGUGGCCUGCACAGGGCAGGGAGCCCAGGGGCUCUGCAGAGC